rnacentral:rRNA from 1 species
AGUUUAAAGUUAUCUUUUUAAAUGUAUCCUGCCCAGUGUAAAUUUUUAUAAAUGGCCGCAGUACCCUGACUGUGCAAAGGUAGCAUAAUCAAUUGGCUUUUAAUUAAAGUCUGGAAUGAAAGGAUUUAUGAAAAAAGACUGUCUAAAAAAUAUUUUAUUUAAUUUAGUUAUUAGGUGAAAAUACCUAUGUAUAGAAAAAAGACGAGAAGACCCUUAGAAUUUUAAUAAUAUAGUUUAAAUUAAUUAUUUUUGUUGGGGCGACAAUUAAGCAAUUAAACCUUAAGUUUUUUAAAACGAAAUUGUUAUAAAAGAUUAAAUUACCUUAGGGAUAACAGCAUUAUUUAUAAAAGUUUGUGACCUCGAUGUUGGACUAGGAACUUUAUGGCUAGCAGUCUAAAAAGAUUUGUUCUGUUCGAACAAUAGAAUCCU